rnacentral:tRNA from 1 species
GGCUGCAUUCUUGGGAAUGCUGUAUUACGUUGACAUCGUAGGGGUCACAGGUUCGAUCCCUGUCGCGCCCACCA